UACGUAGGGACCAAGCGUUGUUCGGAUUUACUGGGCGUAAAGGGCGCGUAGGCGGCAAUUCAAGUCAUCCGUGAAAUCUCCGGGCUUAACCCGGAACGGUCAGGUGAUACUGUUUUGCUAGAGUGCGGAAGGGGCAAUCGGAAUUCUCGGUGUAGCGGUGAAAUGCGUAGAUAUCGAGAGGAACACCAGAGGUGAAGACGGGUUGCUGGGCCGACACUGACGCUGACAGCGCGAAAGCCAGGGGAGCAAACGGG
rnacentral:rRNA from 1 species